UACAUGGGGUGCAAACGUUGCUCGGAAUCAUUGGGCGUAAAGCGCGCGUAGGCGGUUACUUAAGUCGGAUGUGAAAGCCCUCGGCUUAACCGAGGAAGUGCAUCCGAAACUGAGUAGCUAGAGUACUAAAGAGGGUCGCGGAAUUCCCGGUGUAGAGGUGAAAUUCGUAGAUAUCGAGAAGAACACCUGCGGCGAAGGCGGGUUGCUGGGCCGACACUGACGCUGAUGCGCGAAAGCCAGGGGAGCGAACGGG
rnacentral:rRNA from 1 species